UGGUGAGAAAGCAGUGAGAGCCUCUGCCUCUUCAAAGCGUAGCAGAGGAAAGAUGCUGUCGAAUCCCCACUCGUCAGCCGGGUCCUUUCCCCGUGGCCCCCAAAAGGACUUCAGAUCGGUUCUCAGGGAAUGAAAACUUGCCUGGUAGACUUCUCAGUGGAGAGGAUAAUUCAGAAGUCACGCAAGGAUAUGUUCUUGAGCCCUUUCUACCCUCUGGGGCUGUGGCUGGGGAGAAUUCUGGGAAAGACCUGGCUGAACCCUCACCUCCGCGGUUACAAUGUCAGAUCCCUGGCUCAGAAAUUUCAGGGCAACGUAUUCCAACCCCUGCCUGCAACAGAGCAACCUCCGUCUCUCGGUCUCUCCCCGUCUCUCGGUCUCUCCCCGUAGACUGGGAGACUCAGUCACUUUCUUUCCUCCCUUCCUCUCUCCCACCCUCCCUCCCUUUCCUCCCUCUUUCUUCCCUUGCAGUAAGAACCCCUCUUACAGGAAUGUACUGUAUGGGGAAAACAAACUCAUGCCAAGACAACGGGCAAAUCAGUCGAAUUAUGAAACGCUGAGUGAUGUUCUAAUUCCCAAGCCAUCCUGCGGUGGAUGAAGCAGGCGCUCCCGUCCCUAGGAGUAAUCAGUGAGCUGAUUCCGCCGAUGCGUUUGGGAAAUUCUCAUUUUCCGUGGAUCACAGCUGAGCUAUUUGGCCUGAGGGAAACCGCGCACGGCUGGAGAAAUGCCGCCGAUUGGAGAGAGAUUUUUGACCAUUAUGAGCAAAUCGGAAAUAAAUGUAAAACACUG